rnacentral:rRNA from 1 species
GAUGAACGCUGGCGGCGUGCCUAACACAUGCAAGUCGAACGAACGGACGAGAUGCUUGCUUUCCUGAUGUUAGAGGCGGACGGGAGAGUAACACGUGGACAACCUACCUAUAAGAAUGGGAUAACAACGGGAAACCGGAGCUAAUACCGGAAAAUAUAUCGAACUGCAAGGGUCAAAAGUGAGAGACGGUCUUGCUGACAGUUAUAGAUGAAUCCGCGCUUCAUUAGUAAGUUGGUAAGGAGAAGGCUUAACAAGGCAACGAUGCAUAGCCGACCUCAGAGGGACGUCGCCCAGCCUGGCACUGAGGCACGGUCCAGACUCUUGCGCUGGGCAGCAGCACAGACUCUUCCGCGAUGGACGAAGGCCGGACGUUGCAACGCCGCGUGAGUGAUGAAGGUCUUCUGAUCGUAGAACUCUGUUAUUAUGAGGGAACUAAUGUGUAUGUACCUGUGCACAUCUUGACAGUACCUGAUCAGUAAGCCCCGGCUAACUACGUG